AUGACCCGAUCCGCAAGACAAAACCGUAUGGUAGCGGCCGCCUGCACUUGCAUAUCCUCCCACGCAUCGUUGUCAACCUUGGCCGUCUUCGUCUCCUGCAAACCCUUCAAGAUUCACUGUUGCGCCAGAAUAUCCUUGACUCUUGUCUGCCAUAGACCGAAGUUACCCGUGCCAUCGAAUUUCUCCAAAUCAAACCUGGUGAAUCCCGGUGCCAUGCCGAGCCGCGAUCUAACCGACCUGUUGCCGCCGGUCUUACCGCCCUUAUUUUCUUCUGCGACUUCCUCACGAAAAAGAUCACUGAUCCCGUAUUCCUCGUCUGAAGCCAUGCCGCAGUCCGCGAUCUAA
rnacentral:rRNA from 1 species